GACGAACGCUGGCGGCAUGCUUAACACAUGCAAGUCGAACGGUGAUCUUGGGAGCUUGCUCUUGGGUGAUCAGUGGCGAACGGGUGAGUAACACGUGAGUAACCUGCCCCUGACUCUGGAAUAACUUCGGGAAACCGAAGCUAAUACCGGAUAUGACACAGAGAUGCAUGGCUACUGUGUGGAAAGUUUUUCGGUUGGGGAGGGACUCGCGGCCUAUCAGCUUGUUGGUGAGGUAAUGGCUCACCAAGGCGACGACGGGUAGCCGGCCUGCGAGGGCGAGCGGCCACACUGGGACUGAGACACGGCCCAGACGCCUACGGGAGGCAGCAGGGGGGAAUAUUGCACAAUGGGCGAAAGCCUGAUGCAGAGACGCCGCGUGAGGGAUGAAGGCCUUCGGGUUGUAAACCUCUUUCAGUAGGGAAGAAGCGCAAGUGACGGUACCUACAGAAGAAGCACCGGCUAACUACGUGCCAGCAGCCGCCGUAACAC
rnacentral:rRNA from 1 species